AAGUUCAGCUGAGGUGAAGGGGUGAGACAACGUCAAAGAAGGGACAACAGCGAGAGAGAUAGAGAGACGUGUCUAAUGAAGGAAUGCACACAGAGAAAUGGAAACUAAUGGAGACAAAGGAUGUACAGGCGAGAGAGAGAGAUGGCGAUGGGGUGGCUGACUGCUGUUGAACUCAUCGUCAUCUUAAUUGAUGAGGUCAUCCCGGGGACUAUCCCAAAACUAGAGUGUCCCCGGGAGGUCGUCACCAGGUCAUCCAAAAGUCAAAGUGCAUCAGAGAGAGAUGACGUAGCAUGUGAAAGGAAAUUUAAUGUGCCAAGAAUAGCAGAUGGGUUGGUGAGAGGAGGAUACAAAAAGUAGCUGCAAAACAGGAGUACAAUUAUGGUUAUAACAUGGCACAAUCCCACUGGAGUAAUUUGGGACUUAAAGGCCAUGAUGAUUAUUCUUGGCUCGUUGUUUUGAAAGGCUUUAAUCUGAAAUGAAACCACCCCAAUAUUAAUGGUGUCAUGUUUGUUUAUGAAGUAAGUAAGAAAGUAAGAAGAUCGGGCCGCUGAUGUCCAACCAGACCAGAUGGUGUCAUUUUGAAAGAAACUGAAAGAAGAGCAUUUUGAAACUUGGAAGGAGGUUCAGAACAAAUCGUGGAAGCUUGAAAAGAAGAAUGAAAGAAAGGAAGUUCUGUCCAUUGUGAUUAGCGAUGACUAACUUGGUUAUUGAAUUGGCCUUUUUUAUUAAUGUAAAAUAAGGCAAUAGUUUGACAAAGACAUUUGGAUAAAAACAAUGUAAUUUUCAGGAAUGCGUUGCUUGCUGACUGCAUCAAGAAGCAAAAGCUGGUCAUUUCUGACUGACAAACAGCUUGUGUUUUGCUCAUACUGUAGCUAUAAAUGUAUGCCCUAAUGUGUUGUUUGUCUGUGUCCCAGCUUGCGAUAGUUUGCAGAUCCUCUUCAAAGUACUUCAGAUGACAAGGGACCCCUCUCAAAAACACAAGCCUGAACUCUUCAGUUUAAGAGCCCGGCAGUUUGCCUCGCUCUUCCAGCGGAACAUUGAAGAGGAAGUGCCAACCGUUCUUUGAAGAUGUUCAGGUUUCUGGUGAACAAUCAGUGUGAGGCUGAUGUAGAUGGUCUCGACCCCUGGUUGCUGUGAACGUUAGGGAUGCAGAGGAGGGAUGGAGAGAUGCAUUCCUCCUAAAGAAUCCGGCUGAGACAAUAGAACAGCGCACAGGCACUUGGGGAACAGAAGGGUGACACAGAGGGCAGCUCUCACCCACAACAACUCUCCUCCUUUGAAAACAAAACCCCAACCUGUUACUGCUUCAGCCUGUCUGUGGGAGGGGAUGCUCGUAAUAAAGCUGCCAGCCCCCUCGUUAGGUAUCACGAGGGUAAGUGUAUGUGUUUGAGUGAAGGACCAAGGAGCAAUAGUACAGGAAUGCGCCCUUUCAAGUGACAUUUGGGAGCAGGAGCUCUGUGCCACUUUAUUUUUCAUAUGCACGUUUUUUGACCUUUCCCUUUUUCAUUUUAGGGGAUACUGAUGAAAUACAGCUUGCAAUAUUUUACAGCUUGCCAACAUAUAUUUAAUCAUGUCAUGCAUGUAAAUAUACAAUUAAAAGAAAUUGUACUAUGAUUAUCACUAAUGAUACAAGUGGUAAAAUACAUAGCCACGCAAUCAAUAAGAAAUUAUUAAAGGUGACGUUAAUAUCCAUAAACAUGACCAGUAUUCAUAUAUAGACAGUGCAUAG